GAUGAACGCUAGCUACAGGCUUAACACAUGCAAGUCGAGGGGAAACGAUAGAGAAAGCUUGCUUUUUCUAGGCGUCGACCGGCGCACGGGUGAGUAACGCGUAUCCAACCUGCCCAUCACUUGGGGAUAACCUUGCGAAAGUAAGACUAAUACCCAAUGACGUCUCUAGAAGACAUCUGAAAGAGAUUAAAGAUUUAUCGGUGAUGGAUGGGGAUGCGUCUGAUUAGCUUGUUGGCGGGGUAACGGCCCACCAAGGCGACGAUCAGUAGGGGUUCUGAGAGGAAGGCCCCCCCACAUUGGAACUGAGACACGGUCCAAAACUCCUACGGGAGGCAGUAGUGAGGAAUAUUGGUCAAUGGACGAGAGUCUGAACCAGCCAAGUAGCGUGCAGGAUGACGGCCCUAUGGGUUGUAAACUGCUUUUAUAAGGGAAUAAAGUGAGUCUCGUGAGACUUUUUGCAUGUACCUUAUGAAUAAGGACCGGCUAAUUCCGUG
rnacentral:rRNA from 1 species